CCUACGGGAGGCAGCAGUGAGGAAUAUUGGUCAAUGGGCGCGAGCCUGAACCAGCCAAGUAGCGUGAAGGAUGACUGCCCUACGGGUUGUCAACUUCUUUUAUAAAGGAAUAAAGUGGGGCACGUGUGCCUUUUUGUAUGUACUUUAUGACUCAGGCUCGGCUAACUCCGUGCCAGCAGCCGCGGUAAUACGUAGGAUCCGAGCGUUAUCAGGAUUUAUUGGGUUUAAAGGGAGCGUAGAUGGGUUGUUAAGUCAGUUGUGAACGUUGGCGUCUCAACCGUAAAAGUGAAAUUGAGACUGGCAGCCUUGAUGACAGUUGAGGUAGGUGGAAUUCGUGGUGUAGCGGUGAAAUGCUUA
rnacentral:rRNA from 1 species